rnacentral:rRNA from 1 species
AUUGAACGCUGGCGGCAUGCCUUCCACAUGCAAGUCGAGAGGCAGCGCGGGGGCAACCCUGGCGGCGAGCGGCGAACGGGUGAGUAACGCAUCGGAACGUGUCCUCUUGUGGGGGAUAACCAGUCGAAAGACUGGCUAAUACCGCAUGAGCUCGAGAGAGGAAAGCGGGGGACCGCAAGGCCCCGCGCGAGAGGAGCGGCCGAUGCCCGAGUAGCUAGUUGGCGGGGUAACGGCCCACCAAGGAGACGAUCGGUAGCGGGUUUGAGAGAACGACCAGGCACACUGGGACGGGGACACGGCCCAGGCUCCUACGGGAGGCAGCAGUGGGGAAUUUUGGACAAUGGGGGAAACCCUGAUCCAGCCAUGGCGCGUGUGUGAAGAAGGCCUUCGGGUUGUAAAGCACUUUCGGACGGAACGAAAUCGCGCGGGCGAACAUCCCGCGUGGAUGACGGUACCGUAAGAAGAAGCACCGGCUAACUACGUGCCAGCCGCCGCCGUAAUAC